rnacentral:hammerhead_ribozyme from 1 species
AUCUAGGUGACGAGUCCCAAACAGGACAAAACGCUCUUUAUGGAU